rnacentral:rRNA from 1 species
CCUACGGGCGGCAGCAGUGAGGAAUAUUGGUCAAUGGGAGAGAUCCUGAACCAGCCAAGCCGCGUGAGGGAAGACGGCCCUAUGGGUGGUAAACCUCUUUUGUCGGAGAACAAAACCCGGGACGUGUCCCGGACUGCGUGUAUCCGAAGAAAAAGCAUCGGCAAACUCCGUGCCAGCAGCCGCGGUAAUACGGAGGAUGCGAGCGUUAUCCGGAUUUAUUGGGUUAAAGGGGUGAGUAGGCGGUGCGUUAAGUCAGCGGUAAAGUUGCGGGGUUAAACCCCGUCGAGCCGUUGAAACUGGCAGACUUGAGUUGGCGAGAGGUAAGCGGAAUGCGCGGUGUAGCGGUGAAAUGCAUAGAUAUCGCGCAGAACUCCGAUUGCGAAGGCGGCGUACCGGCGCCAGACUGACGCUGAGGCACGAAAGCGUGGGGAUCGAACAGGAUUAGAUACCCGUGUAGUC